UGAUGUAAGACAAAGACAAGGCAUUAUAUAAGGUAAAUACAGGAAGUUCUGAGAGAGAGAGACGAGCGAGGUCGAGAGAGGAGACGUCGCUGCAUUAUACAGAGGAGGAUAAAGGAAGUAGUGAAGAGGAAAUCUGGACAGUUAAAAAACAGACUUCCAAUCCCAUGAUCCAUCUUUAGAAGGACGCGAGGAUCUCUACAAGGACGUCACGAUGGAGAAUCAGCCGCCCCUCACAUCACCGGAUGGAUCCAGUAAUGGGAACCCACCAGAG